CAGCAGCAGGGAACUUACCUGAAAAAAUAUUCUACAUUUGAAAAGGCAGCGAUUCAAAGUUUGCAGGUAUACAAGAUACUAAGAGGAAUAGAUAGAGUGGACAGCCAGCACCUCUUCCCAAGGCACACUGCUCAAUACAAGAGGACAUGGCUUUAAGGAUUCUUUUGAAGACGCUGACCUGGAGUUACACGCAGGCUUCGGAUCUUUACGGGAAUGGGACCCGUUCUCGGGGUUCCACCAUUAGCCGUUAUUUGACGUGCCAAGGGUUUGGCCCGAGAGUCUUAAUCGUUUUUGGAAGCCUAAGAUCUUGGGGCUCUGGAGAUAGAUGGAUUGAGGGUCGGUUGUCGCAGCAGGAGACUUAUGUGUUGUCAGGGAGGCCAGAAAAUCUUUCGUUGCGGGCCGGAAGACCCAAGGUCUUUGCAAUCUUUGGACACAGAGCUUGAAAACAAAAUGAACUUAUAGCAUCGUAAACCAGCUUGUUGCUGUUACGUCUCCUGCUCGCUGUGAAAAUGGGGGACACCUCCCUCUUGGGGGGGGGGGGGGGGGAGAGAGAGGGAGAGGGGAGAGGGAGGUGGGAGGGGGAGAGGGUGAGGGAGAGAGAGAGAGAACGAACCUGUGGGUUGUCGAAUGUUGGAUGAAAUGCGAAGCCUUUGGGUUAACUUUGGUCUGUGUCUUUGCUAUUGUUUAGCAUGUGCUUGGCCUCGGUGAUGGUCUUUUUUUUUGCUGGUGGGCAGAGGGAGGAUCAUUGCUUAUGCGCAGGAGAGGGGAGCUGGGGGGGACUUUGGGGUUCUCACAUUUAACUGUCAUUCAUUCUUUGGGCACUGCUGUUUCCGUGGAUGUUUGCGGAAAAAAAGCAUUUCAGGAUGUAUAUUGUAUACAUUUCCCUGACAUUAAAUUUGACCUUUGAACCUUUGAAGGGAGAGAAAACACUACAAUGAAAUUCUGGGAAUGAUCUUCAUGACAUUUUAAAGUAAAGGCUUAAAAAGCAAAAAGUGAUGGAAGCAUUCAGAAUAUCAGGUAGCAUCUAUGGAGAGAGAAAAUUACUUCAGGAUGAUCCUUCAUUGGUACAGAGAAAACUGAUAACUAAAAUAUAAUUUAACUUGUAGAGAAAGGGGAAGGGAAAGAAAAAACAAAAAUCUAUGCUAAGGCAGAGACCAGAAGGUAGUCAAUGACAGGUCACGUCAGUGGUGCGUGUGGAAUAAGCUGGUAAAGCUAUGUUUUGAGAUACAAAUUCGGAGGUAGUUAAUGGUAGCUAAUAAAAAGUGGUAAAGUAGCUUAGUGGUUAGCAUAAUGCUAUUACAGUGCAUCAUGGGUUCAAUUCUGCUGCUGGCUGGAAGUUUAAUGUUCUCCACAUGACCAUGUGAGUUUCCUCCAGGAUGCUCCACU